UGUAUACGAAAAAAACAUAGCAUAUACAGGGUUCGGUACUACCUAUGGUUUCAGGCAUCCACUGGGGGUCUUGGAGCAUAUCUUCCAUAUUAAGGGGAGACUACUGUACUCCAUUGGCUGGUCUGAUUGACCUUGUUACCUCCCAAAUGGAGUGGUGCCCUCACUUGGCAUGUAUCAGGCCCAGGACACAGCCAAGUUGGUUAUAGCUGUUGGUUAGUAUUUGACACAAGUAAGGAGCACACUGGGGAUAAAUUGCAAAACAGUGUGUUGAGGGUUGGGCUGGUUUUAUAGUCAGAUGGUAAUGAGGAGGUGUGAUCUGAUAGGAACUUACGAUGGGGGUGAUGCCAGGAAACAUAUGCUGACUGGAUCCUGCUGUGGAGUGAUUCCAGAGCACAAUCUGAUUGGAUUCUGGAUUUUGCAGCAUCUUCUUAAUUCGGUCCCUACUCCUAGUCCAAGCACUUAGGUUUUGCCCAUGGUUGCAAGCUUGGUUCAUUGGGGCAUGCCCAGAAAUGUGUUUAUUAUUUGAGACAGCGUCUCACUCUGUUGCCCCAGGUUAGAAUGCAAUGGCGUCAUAGCUCACAACAACCUGAAACUCUUAGACUCAAGUAAUCCUCUUGCCUCCCCUUCCCACAUAACUGGGACAAGUGUCCACACUAUGCCUGAGACAGGAGAAUUAAAAAAUUCGAGAUGGAGGCAGCAGCUUCUGGAAAUGUCAGUUUUAUUAAACAUUUACGGACAUUUGGAGGUUUGAGAAGAAAUAUACAGAAUAUAGAAAAAAAAAAAUCCUAAGAAUCC